UUUUUAGAUUUCGCAGCGACCAAACUCGAUAUAUGCAGUGACCGAAAAAUCAUACAUCCUUGGCCAGUGUAUUCUUCGCUGAUGGGUUGCGAACAUUGCCCAAAAUCAUUCAUUAUUGAUAUCUCAGUGCGAAAAGACUGAUUGAAUAUAGAAGAGUAAUUCCCAUUAAUAUAAACCAUAGGGGGUGGACAUAGGUAACGUUUCUCUGACCCAUAAGACUUUUGUAUGACAGAGGAAUGUCGACACGAAACUGUUACCAGCUGACUAGGUUUCCCUGAACGUGUAAGUGAAAUUUUGUGCACACUGUCCUCAUUCAAAUUAGCAAUGCCAAUACAACAAUUGUUCAGUAAAUCCAAAUGAUCUGAUAUGGCUCUUCGGAUCAUCUCUACAGAACUGUCUUCAUCAAAGGUUUUUCUUUUUCUAUUAAACCCAGGAGGAGAAGGAGCAGGAAUUAUGUUUUGGGCCAGCUCGUCCAACGAAUUAGACGCCUUUGCUACAGCAGGAAAAAUUGACUGUUCAUCCUUAACUACAGAAGGGAAUUCCUCUGAUUUUUCCAAAGUAGCCAAAGCUGAGUUUACAGCACUGAAGAGAGACAAAACCUGCAUGGAAACACUUCCAGGACUCCCGCUUCCAACUCUUUCAGAAUUUUCAUUCCUUCCUCCAGCUCCAUCC